UGGGGUGAAGCUUAGUGGUAGAGCACCUGCUUAGCAGGCACGAGGUCCUGGGUUCGAUUCCCAGCACCUCCA
rnacentral:tRNA from 1 species